rnacentral:lncRNA from 1 species
AUGGGGGGCUGGAAUGUAAAAGUAGGAAGUCAAGAAACACCUGGAGUAACAGGCAAAUUUGGCCUUGGAAUGUGGAAUGAAGCAGGGCAAAGACUAAUACAGCUUUGCCAAGAAAAUGCACUGGUCAUAGCAAACAGCCUCUUCCAAAAACACAAUACAAGACUCUACACAUGGACAUCACCAGAUGAUCAACACCGAAAUCAGAUUGAUUAUAUUCUUUGCAGCCAAAGAUGGAGAAGCUCUAUACAGUCAACAAAAACAAGACCAGGAGCUGACUGUGUCUCUGAUCGUGAACUCCUUAUUGCCGAAUUCAGACUCAAAUUGAAGAAAGUAGGGAAAACCGCUAGACCAUUCAGGUAUGACCUAAAUCAAAUCCCUUAUGAUUAUACAGUGAAAGUGAGAAAUAGAUUUAAGGGCCUAGAUCUGAUAGAUAGAGUGCCUGAUGAACUACGGACUGAGGUUCAUGACAUUGUAUGGGAGACAGGGAUCAACACCAUCCCUAUGGAAAUGAAAUGCAAAAAAGCAAAAUGGCUGUCUGUGGAGGACUUACAAACAGCUAUGAAAAGAAGAGAGGUGAAAAGCAAAGGAAAAAAGGAAAGAUAUAAGUAUCUGAAUGCAGAGUUCCAAAGAAUAACAGGAAGAGAUAAGAAAGCCUUCUUCAGCGAUCAGUGCAAAGUAAUAGAGGGAAACAACAGAAUUGGGAAGACUAGAGAUCUCUUCAAGAAACUUAGAGAUACCAAGGGAACAUUUCAUGCAAAGAUGGGCUCGAUAAAGGACAGAAAUGGUAUGGACCUAACAGAAGCAGAAGAUAUUAAGAAGAGGUGGCAAGAAUACAUAGAAGAACUGUACAAAAAAGAUCUUCACAACCCAGAUAAUCAUGAUGAUGUGAUCACUAAUCUAGAGCCAGACAUCUUGGAAUGUGAAGUCAAGUGGGCCUUAGAAAGCAUCACUACGAACAAAGCUAGUGGAGGUGACGGAAUUUCAGUGGAGCUGUUCCAAAUCAUGAAAGAUGAUGCUGUGAAAGUGCAGCACUCACUAUGCCAGCAAAUUUGGAAAACUCAGCAGUGGCCACAGGACUGGAAAAGGUCAGUUUUCUUUCCAAUCCCAAAGAAAGGCAAUGCCAAAGAAUGCUCAAACUACCACACAACUGCACUCAUCUCAUAUGCUAGUAAAGUAAUGCUCAAAAUUCUCCAAGCCAGGCUUCAGCAAUACAUGAACCGUGAACUCCCUGAUGUUCAAGCUGGUUUUAGAAAAGGCAGUGGAACCAGAGAUCAAAUUGCCAACAUCCACUGGAUCAUCGAAAAAGCAAGAGCGUUCCAGAAAAACAUCUAUUUCUGCUUUAUUGACUAUGCCAAAGCCUUUGACUGUGUGGAUCACAAUAAACUGUGGACAAUUCUGAAAGAGAUGGCAAUACCAGCCCACCUGACCUGCCUCUUGAGAAAUCUGUAUGCAGGUCAGGAAGCAACAGUGAGAACUGGACAUGGAGCAACAGACUGGUUCCAAAUAGGAAAAGGAGUAUGUCAAGGCUGUAUAUUGUCACCCUGCUUAUUUAACUUCUAUGCAGAGUACAUCAUGAGAAACGCUGGACUGGAAGAAGCACAAGCUGCAAUCAAGAUUGCCAGGAGAAAUAUCAAUAACCUCAGAUAUGCAGAUGACACCAUCCUUAUGGCAGAAAGUGAAGAGGAGCUAAAAAGCCUCUUGAUGAAAGUGAAAGAGGAGAGCGAAAAAGUUGGCUUAAAGCUCAACAUUCAGAAAAUGAAGAUCAUGGCAUCCGGUCCCAUCAGUUCAUGGGAAAUAGAUGGGGAAACAGUGGAAACAGUGUCAGACUUAAUUUUGGGGGGCUCCAAAAUCACUGCAGAUUGUGACUGCAGGCAUGAAAUUGUAAGACGCUUGCUCCUUGGAAGAAAAGUUAUGACCAACCUAGAUAGUAUAUUCAAAAGCAGAGACAUUACUUUGCCGACUAAGGUCUGUCUAGUCAAGGCUAUGGUUUUUCCUGUGGUCAUGUAUGGAUGUGAGAAUUGGACUGUGAAGAAGGCUGAGUGCCAAAAAAUUGAUGCUUUUGAACGGUGGUGUUGGAGAAGACUCUUGAGAGUCCCUUGGACUGGACUCCACCAGUCCAUUCUGAAGGAGAUCAACCCUGGGAUUUCUUUGGAAGGAAUGAUGCUGAAGCUGAAACUCCAGUACUUUGGCCACCUCAUGCUAAGAGUUCACUCAUUGGAAAAGACUCUAAUGCUGGGAGGGAUUGGGGGCAGGAGGAGAAGGGGACGACCCAGGGUGAGAUGGCUGGAUGCAUCAUGGACUCGAUGGACGUGA